AUUCUAGAAUAAUGAGCAAAGGAGAAACCGGUAAAAUCCCAUAAAAAUUCUGUGCACGGGAGUCCGGACGAAGACGCAGGACGCGUGUAAGGUAUGCCAGAAUAAAUGGUGGACACACUGUGAAUGUGGAUACCCUCCAAUAGGAGUUUGCACACAGUGUUGGAAAAUCCAAAGAACUCUUACUGAGUGGAAAUUAAAACAAUUAGAGUCUAAACAAGAAAUUAUUCGAGAAU